rnacentral:rRNA from 1 species
UACGGAGGGUGCAAGCGUUGUCCGGAAUCACUGGGCGUAAAGGGCGCGUAGGCGGCUCAUGAAGGCUGUGGUGAAAGCCUGGGGCUCAACCCCGGGUCGGCCGUGCGAACUGGGGGGCUGGAGCACUGUAGAGGCAGGCGGAAUUCCGGGUGUAGCGGUGGAAUGCGUAGAGAUCCGGAAGAACACCGGUGGCGAAGGCGGCCUGCUGGGCAGUUGCUGACACUGAGGAGCGAAAGCGUGGGGAGCAAACAGG